AUGGUUAUACCCGAAUCCAAAUCCAAGACCGCGGGCGCAAACGUCACUACGAAAAAUGAGCCAUGGGUAUUGGCUUCCCAAGUGGACCAACGCUUCUUCAAUACCGACCCGUCAAAGCCCAGUUGUGUUGUCGUGAGGAGAGGCAAAAGGAAGAUCAUCGGAAUGGCAGGAGUCGCCAAUGAGCAAGACUUCGACAAGUACGGUGACCCGAAGAUGGAACAUGAUGAUGACGAUGAAGUGCGACACACGACAAGAAGAAGCAGGACCACCCUACCUAAAGGACGUUUGUUCCACACAAGAUCUCCAUUUGCGAAAAAGAACGGUAAGUAG
rnacentral:rRNA from 1 species